rnacentral:rRNA from 1 species
AAACUCAAAGGAAUUGACGGGGCCCGCACAAGCGGAGGAACAUGUGGUUUAAUUCGAUGAUACGCGAGGAACCUUACCUGGGCUUAAAUGUAGAGUGCAUUUUCUAGAGAUAGGAAUUCCCUUCGGGGCUUUCUACAAGGUGCUGCAUGGUUGUCGUCAGCUCGUGCCGUGAGGUGUCGGGUUAAGUCCCAUAACGAGCGCAACCCUUAUCGUUAGUUGCCAUCUGGUAAAGCAGGGGACUCUAGCGAAACUGCCACCGUAAGGUGAGAGGAAGGUGGGGAUGACGUCAAAUCAGCACGGCCCUUAUGUCCAGGGCUACACACGUGCUACAAUGGUUGGUACAACGAGUUGCGAGUCGGUGACGGCGAGCUAAUCUCUUAAAGCCAAUCUCAGUUCGGAUUGUAGGCUGCAACUCGCCUACAUGAAGUCGGAAUCGCUAGUAAUCGCGGAUCAGCACGCCGCGGUGAAUACGUUCCCGGGCCUU